CGCGUAGGCGGCUUGGUCAGUCGGAUGUGAAAGCCCCGGGCUUAACCUGGGAAUUGCAUUCGAUACUGCCUGGCUAGAAUGUAGUAGAGGGAAGUGGAAUUCCAGGUGUAGCGGUGAAAUGCGUAGAUAUCUGGAGGAACAUCAGUGGCGAAGGCGACUUCCUGGACUAACAUUGACGCUGAGGUGCGAAAGCGUGGGGAGCAAACA
rnacentral:rRNA from 1 species